UCAGGCUCCUCAUGCCAGAACCCCCGCCCAGCACCGCGGGGGUUUUGCUUUUUACCGGCCCCGCCGCGCCUCGUCUUCGUCCCUCCACGCACUCCGCUCAUCUGCCAUCCCCCGCGGC
rnacentral:rRNA from 1 species